rnacentral:lncRNA from 1 species
CAGAAUUGCAGUAUACAAGUAUCUGAUCAAGAAAAUGGGAACGGCAGUGCUACUAAGAUGCAGAGUACAUACAGAAGAAGUGGGGAAUAAGAUGUAUGAAAUACACUUCUACUAUGCCCUUAGGAUAAAUGUACUCCCCACUUAUGUCUUCAUUAGAGAAUAUCCUUUAUAUCCAAGCUGGGCUUGGAGUCCUAGCCAAUAUGUUUCUCCUUUUUUUCUAUACUUCCAUAAUACUUGGUGACAGACCUAAGCCCAUGGACCUGAUCUCCUGUCAACUGACCUUCAUUCACAUAAUGAUGAUCCUCAGUGAAGGGGAUAAUUUGCUUGCAAACAUAUUAGAGUCACUAAAAUUUGGGAAAGACAUCAAAUGUAAGACAACUUUUUUACAUAAACAGAGUGAUGAGAGGCCUCUCUAUCUGCAUCACCUGCCUCCUGAGUGUGUUCCAGGCUAUCACAAUCAGUCCCAGUACCUCACUGUUGGCAAAAUUUAAGAAUAAAGUAAAAACACACAUCAUGUAUGCUUUUUUCUAUUUUUGGUCUUUUAAUUUGUCAUUCAGUAGUAGGUUGAUCAUCUAUGUUACUGGUUAUAUCAAUGUGAGUGAGACCUACCAAAUGAAGGUCACUAAAUCCUGCUCACUAUUCCGCAUGAACUACAUCAUCAGGGAAUUGAUUUUAACAGUGAUGAUCUCCAGAGAUGUGUUUCUUGUAGGACUCAUGUUGACCACAAGCACAUACAUGGUGAUUACCUUGUGCAAACAUGAGAGGCAAUGCAAACAUCUUCAUAGCAUCCGCAACCUGAGAGCAUCACCUGAGAAAAGGGCCACCCAGACAAUCUUGCUGCUGGUGGUUUUCUUUGUGGUUAUGUACUGGUUGGACUUGAUCAUCUCCAUCACCUCAACCCUGUCAUGGAUGUAUGACCCAGAUGUUCUGACUAUUCAGAAAUUUGUGAUGUAUGCCUAUCCCACAAUUACUCCUUUAGUACAAAUCAGUUCUGAUAAGAGAGUAAUCAGUAUACUGAAUAACUUCCACUCCAAAUGCCACUAAAUUUUCUAAAAAUUAUUAUUUCUCUUUUUAAAAAAUUAUUCAUUUACUUUUAUUUAUAUGUACAAGUGUCACAAUUGUUCUGAAUUACAACUCUGUCUUAAUAUUCAAUUGUUCAUGUAGCACAGUGACAUUCUUCAUAUUAAUGCAAGUAGUUUGUGGUAUUACAAACAUACAUUCUUUUGACCUUACAGAUGCUGAGUGCUACAAACUUCUUUUUCUAUUACAUAUUUUAUUUACAUUUCAAAUGUUAUCUGCUUUCCUAGUUUCCACUCUGAAAAUUCCCUAUACCCUUCCCGUUCCUGCUGAUCCCCAACCCACACUCUCCCAUUCCUAGCCCUGGCAUUGCUCUAUACUGGGGCAUAGAACCUUCGCAGGACCUAGGGCCUCUUCUCUCAUUGUUGACCGACUAGGCUAACCUCUUCUACAUAUGCAGGUACAGCCACGAAUCCCACCAUGUGUUUUUAUUUUGUUUCUUUGUUUUUGGUUUUUUUUUUGUUUUGUUUUUGGUUUUGUUUUGUUUUAUUUUUUUGUUUUGUUUUGUUUUUGAUUGGUGGUUUAGUCCCAAGGAGCUAUGGGGUAUUGAUUAUUUCAUAUUGAUGCUCCUUCUAUGGGGCUGCAAACCCCUUCAGGUCCUUGGGUACUGUCUCUACCUCCUUCAUUGGGGAACCUGUGCUCCAUCCAAUGGAUGACUGUGAGCAUCCACUUCUGUAUUUGCCAGGCACUGGCAAUGCCUCUCAGGAGACAGCAAUAUCAGGCUCCUGUCAGCAGUUCUUGAUGGAAUCUGCCAUGGUGUCUGGGUGUGGUGGUUGUUAAUGAGAUGGAUCCCACAUGGGGCAGUCUCUGGAUGAUCAUUGCUUCAGUCUCCAAAAUUUGUCUCUGUAACUCUUUCAAUUGGUAUUUUGUUCCCCCUGCUAAGAAGGCUUCUGAGCUUCUGGGAUAAUAUCCACUUAUCAGUGAGUCCAUAUCAUGUAUGUUCUUUUAUAAUUGGAUUACCUAACAUAGGAUCUCCAGAUCCAUCCAUUUGUCUAAGAAUUUCAUAAAUUCAUUGUUUUUAAUAGCUGCAUAGUACUCCAUUGUGUAAAUGUACCACAUUUUCUGUAUCCAUUCCUCUGGUGAGGGACAUCUGUGUUCUUUCCAACUUCUGGCUAUUGUAAAUAAGGCUUCUAUGAACAUAGUGGAGCACGUGUCCUUAUUAUACAUUAGAGAAUUUUCUGGGUAUAUGCCCAGGAGUGGUAUUGUUGGAUCUUCCAGUAGAACUAUGUCAAAUUUUCUGUGGAACCACCAAACUUAUUUCCAGAGUGGUUGUACAAGCUUGCAGUUCCACCAGCAAUAUAGGAGUGUUCCUCUUUCUCCACCUCCUCGCCAGCAUCUGCUAUUACCCGAGUUUUUGAUCUAAGGCACUCUGACUUGUGUGAGGUGGAGUGUCAGGGUUGUUUUGAUUUGCAUUUCUCUGAUGAUUAAGGAUGUUGAACAUUUUUUUAGCUGUUUCUCUGUCAUUCAGUAUUCUUCAGUUGAGAAUUCUUUGGUUAGCUCUGUAUUCCAUUUUUUUAAUAGGGUCAUUUUUUUCCUGGAGUCCAUCUUCUUGUGAUAUAUAUAUAUAUAUAUAUAUAUAUAUAUAUAUAUAUAUAUAUAUAUAUAUGGGAUAUUAGCCCCCAUCAGAUUUAGGUUUGGUAAAGAUCUUUUCCCAAUCUGUUGGUUGCUGUUUUGUAUUAUUUAUAGUGUCCUUUGCCUUUCAGAAGCUUCGAAAUUUUAUGAGGGCUUAUUUAUCUAUUGUUGAUCUUACAGCACAAGUCAUUGCUGUUCUGUUCAGGAAUUUUUUGCCGGUGCCCAUAUCUUCGAAGAUCUUCCCCACUUUAUCCUCUAUAAGUUUAAUUGUCUCUGGUUUUAUGUGGAAUUCCUUGAUCCACUUAUACCUGAGCUUUGCACAAGGAUAUAAGAAUGGAUCAAUUUGCAUUCUUCUACAUGCUAACUGCCAGUUGAGCCAGCCCCAUUUGUUAAAGAUGCUGUCUUCUUUCCACUCAUCCUUCAAAAUAGUCACAAAUAAUAUAAAAUACUUUGGUGUGACUCUAACUAAGGAAGUGAAAUAUCUGUAUAAUAAGGACGUCAAGUCUCUGAAGGGAAAAAAAAAAAGAAAUUGAAGAAGAUCUCAGAAGAUAUAAAGAUCUCCCAUGCUCAUGGAUUGGCAGGAUUAAUAUCUUCAAAAUUGCUAUCUUGAUGAAAGCAAUCUACAGAUUCAAUGCAAUCCCCAUCAAAAUUCCAACUCAAUUCUUCAUGGAGUUAGAAACGACAAUCUGAAAAUUCAUCUGGAAAAACAAAAAACCUAGGAUAGCAAAAAGUAUUCUCAACAAUAAAAGAAACUCUGGUGGAAUCACCAUCCCUGAGCUCAAGCUGUACUACAGAGCAAAUGUGAUAAAAAUUUCAUGGUACCGACAGACAGCUAGAUCAAUGGAAUAGAAUUGAAGACCCAGAAAUGAACCCACACACCUAUGGCCACUUAAUCUUUGACAAAGGUACUAUAAACUUCUUACCUUCAUUAUACAGCAUAAUUGCUCUUUACACAUAAAUUCUCUUUUUUGUACUUGUUGCUUCAUCUUAGAAGUGUCCUUGACUCUGGGGUUAUUCAGAAGAAGAAAUAAAAGAAAUAUUAACUACCAAUUAAUAAUAAAAUGCCAAAAAUAAAAGAAUAUUAUCUACCAUUAAAAGAUAUAUUAUUGGUAAAUAAAAGUAUUUAUAUACAGAUAUAUAUGUACAAUAUGGGAUUUGUGAAUAUGUGUAUUCUUGUAUACAUGUGCACAGACAAAGGAGGUGUGAUCAUGUAUACAUUGUGGCCAGGAGACAACCUUGGCUGCUGUUCUUCAGAUACCAUUCAACUUAUGAUCUGAUAGUGUGUCUCUUCUGUACUUGUAGCCUACCAAAUAGGCUCUUACCUAAUAUGAGUUUAACAUAUAGGGAUUCUCCUAUCUCUGCUUUUCUGUUCUAGGAUCACUAGGGUUCAACCAUAGCCAACAAUUUAACAAUAAUGUACUUCUUAUAUUGGAAAAAGGUUUUACAUGCAUUAUAUUCUGAUUAGAUUUUCCCCUUCCUCUACUUCUCCCAGUUCUCCCUCAUCCUCUUUCCCAUCUAGAUCAAGGCUCACUAUUAUACUCUGAGGGUUUCUUAGCUGGGUUAGCAUUUAACUGUCUCUCCACUUAGUGUGCAUGGUACAUUCAAAUAUCCUGAACAUUGAACAGUUAGAGUAAAACAUCUAGAUAUUUGCAACUUCUAUUUCUCCAUGUUCAAAUGAGUCAUAGAAAUGAUGUCCUCAGAAAUAUGGCCUUACUACCAGUUUUUGGAGAGCAAGCAGUAGCCUUAACAAUUCACUGUGUUGUUUGGAGUUUCCCAUGUAACCUCAUUUGAAAAUAUCUCAAUUAAAUGUAAGUAAUUCCCAGUACUGGGAGUUUCAUUUGGUAUUGAUAGAUUUAACUUUGGAUCUGUAUCCCCAUUAUGUGGUUGUUUCAUUUAGAUUUCCUUUUUAUUUGUAUGUAUUUUAGGAAGCUUCUACUGUAUUAAGUUUCCAUAUGACCCCUUAAAUAAACCUUAUUAUCUU